rnacentral:rRNA from 1 species
GCAUCGAUGAAGAACGCAGCGAAAUGCGAUAAGUANNGUGUGUGAUUGCAGAAUUUCAGUGAAUCAUCGAAUCUUUGAACGCACAUUGCGCCCCUUGGUAUUUCCAUGGGGCAUGCCUGUUUCGAGCGUUCAUU